rnacentral:rRNA from 1 species
UACGUAGGGGGCUAGCGUUGUCCGGAAUCAUUGGGCGUAAAGAGCGUGUAGGCGGCCCGGUAAGUCCGCUGUGAAAGUCGGGGGCUCAACCCUCGAAAGCCGGUGGAUACUGUCGGGCUAGAGUGCGGAAGAGGCGAGUGGAAUUCCUGGUGUAGCGGUGAAAUGCGCAGAUAUCAGGAGGAACACCGGUGGCGAAGGCGGCAUCCUGGACCGGUAUUGACGCUGAGGAGCGAAAGCCAGGGGAGCAAACGGG